rnacentral:rRNA from 1 species
CGGCCGCGGUAUUUUGACCGUGCAAAGGUAGCGUAAUCACCUGUCUUUUAAAUAAAGACCUGUAUGAAUGGCAAGACGAGGGUUUUACUGUCUCCUCCCCCCAGUCAAUGAAAUUGAUCUACCCGUGCAGAAGCGGGUAUAAAAACAUAAGACGAGAAGACCCUAUGGAGCUUUAGGCAUAUAUCAAAUAUGUAAAAAACCAAAUUUUUCCAAAUAGGCCUAAAAAAUGAGAAAAACAAGUAUUAAUGAUUAAGUGCCUUCGGUUGGGGCGACCACGGGGAAAAAUAAAACCCCCACAUGGAAUGGGAAAAAUAACCCUAAGCCAAGAAAAACACUUCUAAGCAACAAAAUUUUUGACCAAUAAACGACCCAGGGACACCAUCCCUGAGCAAUGAACCAAGUUACCCUAGGGAUAACAGCGCAAUCCUUUCCCAGAGCCCAUAUCAACGAAAGGGUUUACGACCUCGAUGUUGGAUCAGGGCAUCCUAACGGUGCAGCCGCUGUAAGGGUUCGUUGU